GCGGGCGUGGCGGAAUGGUAGACGCAACGGACUUAAAAUCCGUUUCCCUUCGGGGAGUGCAGGUUCAAGUCCUGCCGCCCGCACCA
rnacentral:tRNA from 1 species